GCCCCUAUAGCUCAACUGGCAGAGCAGCCGACUUUUAAUCGGCGGGUUACUGGUUCGAACCCAGUUAGGGGCA
rnacentral:tRNA from 1 species